rnacentral:lncRNA from 1 species
CACGGUCCUGCAGGAAGAGAGCCACAUGUGUGCUUAAAGAGAGGGUAGCCACUAUAUAAAAAGACAUGUUACCCUAGGGGAGAUUCCUAGGACCAUUCAGUCGUCACUUAUUUUGCAUGCUACUGUUAGGCUUGGCCGGAACGUUGCUGGAUUUGGAGUUUUUCUUUAAGUUGUUGGAUUUUGGUUGAAUGGAAGGAAGCUAGCUGCUGUCACGGUGAUGAAAAAGGGAUGUAGCCGUCACACAGAGGAAGGGAUAUACGUUUUCAACUUGAAAUGGAUUAUUUUGCUGCAUCCAGCCACCACCCCACUUAGUUAGUUUUUAUUUUAUGAUUUUCAUUGUUGGAAUGGUGAGCACGGAAGUACAGUAGUCACCAUAGAAUGAGUUUUUUACAUUGAACUUUUCCUUGAGAAUGUAGCACUGAAGUUUAAUUUAUUUUCUGUUUUUCUGCUUACUCGUUCGUGCUUCAAUGCUCAUUAUUACUGUCAUCUUUAUUUAAAAAAAAAGAAAGAAA